rnacentral:tRNA from 2 species
GCCGAGGUAGCCCAAUGCAGAGGCAGACGCUCUGGGAGCGUCCCAAGGUGCGGGUCCGAAUCCCGCCCUCGGCA